GGAAGUUGGCGUCACGGCGCUAAGCUAUCAGUCUAUUGUUGUUAAUAAUAAGUCUCUCUUUUGCCCAGAUCACUCCGCUGCGGGGGCCUCGGGAAGGGGGCACCCUAGUAACCAUCCGGGGGGAGAACCUGGGCCUGGACUUCAGUGAGAUCCAGGGGAACGUCAGGGUGGCCGAGGUGGACUGUACCCCCGUCCGCGAGGGAUACAUCCCCGCAGAACAGAUAGUGUGUGAGAUGGCGGUGGCAACGCCGAGCCAGUUCGCCAACUACGUGGAGGUGUGUGUGGGGGGUGUGGGGGUCAGAGAGUGUCCCAAAGAGUUCAGGGCCGUAUACUCCAAGUACUACUACUUCGUGGUCACCAGACUGAUCAGCCUGAAGCCCAGCCGAGGGCCCGUCUCCGGGGAACCAUCGUCAACAUCACCGGUAGCAACCU